rnacentral:rRNA from 1 species
UACGGAGGGUGCGAGCGUUGUCCGGAAUCACUGGGCGUAAAGGGCGCGUAGGCGGUCUGCUAAGCGUGUGGUGAAAGCUCGGGGCUCAACCCCGAGUCUGCCAUGCGAACUGGUGGACUUGAGCACUGUAGAGGCAGGUGGAAUUCCGGGUGUAGCGGUGGAAUGCGUAGAGAUCCGGAAGAACACCAGUGGCGAAGGCGGCCUGCUGGGCAGUUGCUGACGCUGAGGCGCGACAGCGUGGGGAGCAAAC